AUUGAACGCUGGCGGCAGGCCUAACACAUGCAAGUCGAAUGGUAACAGGAAACAGCUUGCUGUUUCGCUGACGAGUGGCGGACGGGUGAGUAAUGUCUGGGAAACUUCCUGAUGGAGGGGGAUAACUACUGGAAACGGUAGCUAAUACCGCAUAACGUCGCAAGACCAAAGAGGGGGACCUUCGGGCCUCUUGCCAUCAGAUGUGCCCAGAUGGGAUUAGCUAGUAGGUGGGGUAACGGCUCACCUAGGCGACGAUCCCUAGCUGGUCUGAGAGGAUGACAAGCCACACUGGAACUGAGACACGGUCCAGACUCCUACGGGAGGCAGCAGUGGGGAAUAUUGCACAAUGGGCGCAAGCCUGAUGCAGCCAUGCCGCGUGUAUGAAGAAGGCCUUCGGGUUGUAAAGUACUUUCAGCGGGGAGGAAGGGAGUAAAGUUAAUACCUUUGCUCAUUGACGUUACCCGCAGAAGAAGCACCGGCUAACUCCGUG
rnacentral:rRNA from 1 species